UUUUAAAUAUCGCUGGUUUAACUGGCUACUAAGAAGCCUGUGGUUGAAGAACUUCCUACUGGUGUUGGGAACUAAAAACCCUUUACUUCCUUCCGUACAGCUGCUCAUAAACUGCUAUGAGGGAAGGCUGCAGUCACCAUGAAGGUACUACAGGUCUUGCCCAACACUGGCCCUUGCACAUCUGUCUGCAUCCCCAAGAAACCAAGGUGUGCCUCCGGUGUGGCCUCGUUGGUUCUUCACUAGUGCUCCCUCUCCCCUCCCCCGAGGACCGCUCCUGGCCUCUAGAAGGCCACUGGAACCAAAGUUUCUACCACAGUGCUUUUCUGUAUGACUUCUUCCUGUCUACUGAAGUGUUAACAAUUUGUUCAACUUGAUCUGUACAGCACCCAAAGGAGAUUUCUUUUCAAACUUCUCCCUAGAUUAAGAAAGGAAGUUUUAGAAAAUGAUACUGAGACAUCUCCACAAACUAGUGAGGCACUCUGCAUUGAUACAGCACUGAGAAGGAUGAAAAAGUGUAUAGUAGUCUGUACAUUUUUAGUGUUAGUUCCCCUAAUCCUAAAAUUUUCACUCUGUAUUCAUCCAGUGAAUAU
rnacentral:lncRNA from 1 species